CGGCGGACGGGUGAGUAAUGCCUAGGAAUCUGCCUGGUAGUGGGGGACAACGUUUCGAAAGGAACGCUAAUACCGCAUACGUCCUACGGGAGAAAGCAGGGACCUUCGGGCCUUGCGCUAUCAGAUGAGCCUAGGUCGGAUUAGCUAGUUGGUGGGGUAAUGGCUCACCAAGGCGACGAUCCGUAACUGGUCUGAGAGGAUGAUCAGUCACACUGGAACUGAGACACGGUCCAGACUCCUACGGGAGGCAGCAGUGGGGAAUAUUGGACAAUGGGCGAAAGCCUGAUCCAGCCAUGCCGCGUGUGUGAAGAAGGUCUUCGGAUUGUAAAGCACUUUAAGUUGGGAGGAAGGGCAGUAAGUUAAUACCUUGCUGUUUUGACGUUACCGACAGAAUAAGCACCGGCUAACUCUGUGCCAGCAGCCGCGGUAAUACAGAGGGUGCAAGCGUUAAUCGGAAUUACUGGGCGUAAAGCGCGCGUAGGUGGUUUGUUAAGUUGGAUGUGAAAGCCCCGGGCUCAACCUGGGAACUGCAUCCAAAACUGGCAAGCUAGAGUACGGUAGAGGGUGGUGGAAUUUCCUGUGUAGCGGUGAAAUGCGUAGAUAUAGGAAGGAACACCAGUGGCGAAGGCGACCACCUGGACUGAUACUGACACUGAGGUGCGAAAGCGUGGGGAGCAAACAGGAUUAGAUACCUGGUAGUCCACAGCCGUAAACGAUGUCAACUAGCCGUUGGAAUCCUUGAGAUUUUAGUGGCGCA
rnacentral:rRNA from 1 species